CUGAAAACCCAGCCCAAACCAGACCGCUCCGCCUCCCGCUGCUCCAUCCUGCCCGAGCUCCCCUCGCCCCCGCAAGCCGCCUCGCCGGCGACCCCACACCUCCGCCGCGCCCCGCCGCCUCGCCCCUUCCCUCCUUCCUCUCGAUCUCCUCUCACCUCUGUCUCUCUUUCUUGCUGAACAGGGACCUCCAGGAGGGCCAUGGCGCCACUAGCCCUCAAUCUCGCCAGAUCCGGCCGCCUCCACGCCAAAUCCGCCGGAAAUGGAUCCAUCCCGUCCAGAUCCACCCGGAUCCGACCGGGCCCCCCAUCCUCGCCACUGGAGCACGACGGUCGGCGGGAGCGGCAUGACGUCGGGUAUGUAUGAGAGAAGAGAGAGAUGAGCAGGAGAGAAAAAGGGAGGACAAGAGGAGGCCAGAGGAAGAGAGAUGGGAGCGGUGACCGCGUACGACCGCCCCGACCACACGGUCGCGGCUUGGCCACCGCGGCCUCCGCGCGGAGCUUCGCGACUACGACCAGCCGGAGGUGGAGGCCAUCAUGUGGUGGGCCGUCAGGUCGGGCUUCAGGGACAACGUCGUCCUGCUCCGCAAGGUCAUCGGCCCCUACCUCAGCGCUAACGGCAGGUGCGUCAACGUCGACCACAGAGCCAGCUUCCCCUCCAGUAUUGGAUCGUCGAGCGCUUCCCUGCCAGGGAAGAUGGCAUACCUGCCUUUCCUGCCCUGCAUCUGAAUCCCCAUACGUGUACCUCCCCUUCAUGUUCAUCUACCUGGAGCCGGGACGGCGGAUCCCGUUCGUUCGGGCGCUCGAGGAGGGGUACUACCCCGAGGACGAAAGCCGGCGCCUGUUAUGGUUCAGGGGGUCCGCGUUCCGCCUGAGAGACGACAUGGCGUUCCUCGGGUUCCCUUGAAUGCGUGCAGCUCUCUCGCUCUCUCAUGUCUGAUGCACGCACGCUGUGCUACUGCUAUCUGGUGACUUUCUACGCACACACUGCAACAGGUUCUUCUUUGGUGUAUCAGGCCAGGCGUAAUUUGUUUUCAAAGAUGCUCACAUACACACACAAACGACAUCCAGUAGGCGCUUGGAACACCCGAUAGAUUGAAAGCACAGAAGCAAAUAUUUCCAAUACGAGGCCACGAUGCCCGACAGAGAUGUAGCCAAUAUGCGCCCAAUCCUUAUUUCUUGAUGUUGGAACAAAUCAACAGGGAAAGGCUCCCCUGCUCCAUUUGCAUUAGAAGCCUGAACAAACAUCCCUGGCUUCCUCUGAAGAGUGACAUAUUGUUUUGAUGUGGCUGCUGAAGAGUAUACCAAGUUAUCAACAGGCUGCAUCAGCGGCUCGCAACGGAGUAAGCUGUGGCGACUGCUACUGGUGCAGCAAGGCACUAGCUAGCUAGGUGUAGCUGACACAAUAAGUUUUCUUUUCACUUCAAAAUUCAGAGGAAGUCAACGUUUCUUUUAUAGUUCAAACCAAUCACUGGUUCAAAAGAUCUAUUCCAAAAGGAUAUUGUCUCUUGAUACGAGGUUACCAAAAUAUAUUCUUCAUCAUGGCCAAAGAUAAAUUUAAUUCCGGGUUAAAAACUUUAGAAUAACUUUGUUUAUAGAUUUUCUAGCUAAGGGUUGCUUUUGUUUAGCCGGAACUCAAAUCAUGAUCAGAUGUACCUAAAAUGAUGAUUUCGGCUCCGUGCUAGCUAUUUUUGAUUUUGAA